UGAAAGAGGCGGAUUUCCAGCUGCCAGAUUUUGACCUCACGGCGGGCUGCCCAUUGAAAUCAACGGAGCCCCUGACGACGUCGUCUAGCAGCGGCGCUUCGAGCUCCGAUAUGUCACCUCCGGUCAUCCUCUCUCUCUCUACACUUGUCGGUUUCUAUGUUAUUUUUUUAUUUUUUUGAGAAAAGGUUUCUAUGUUAUUUUAGUUUCCAUCUUUCUUGGUACUGUUAUAGGAGUAUUGUUUUUUUUAAGCGUAUAGGAAAUUAUUAUUUGUUAUAUUAUAUACUAUCAUGUGUGUGUGUGACAAACAACCACACAUGAAACAUAUGGAGGGAAUUUAUAAGCCUUCGGUUGACUUAAUAUUCGNCGGAGGGAGUACCUCAUUUUUAAUAUGGUCCCUCCUAUUAAAAAUAAAUGUUAUUUCGAAAUUUCAAAAUAAAUGGCAUUCUAGUUUUGUAGGGAUACCCUUGGAUAAAAGGAAAUUUCCUUAAUUUGUGUGUACAAGACUAUAAUGAAAUAUAUAUUGAAUAGUAAUUUAUUUCGUGCUCCCAUUUGGCAACCCUCCUUGGCUUUCCAACUUAAUUUUGUGAUAUGUUUUUUUUUUAUAAAUUAAAUAAGUAAAUAAAGAAAUUUGAAAGAUCGUGUGACGGAGGACUCGAACUCAAAACCUCAUAUCUUGAGCAUUAAGAUCCUACAAUACACGCACACAAUUUUGUGAUAUGUUUAAUUCUAACACACACUAGUUCAAGAUAUAUUUUGUUAAAAAGGUAAAUAGUUUAAAUUUCGAGCGUAAUACACAUUUAAAAAAAAAUAAGUAUAGCAUUAGAAUUCAAUAAUUAGAAUAGACGAUCUCGUGUGCAAAAUUAACGGAGUUAGUAGGCACGUUACCAAGACAUAGACAACGGAAGCAAUGAUAACGGUACGAUAUCUGCCCAAAUACGAGUCGGCGAUGAAACCGCCGACGAGCGGCAGCAGCGACGCCGUGCCGCUCCACGCAUUGACGUUCGCCGCCGCCGCCGCCGUGGACUGGCCCAGCGGCCCCGUCAAAUAGCUUAUCAAAUUCGCACUUAUUCCAUAAUAUGCGAAUCUCUCCGCCACUUCAACACCUACAACCAAAAUGAGAAAUGAGAUUCAAAAUCCAUAAAAACGCAGUAGAUUACUGAUUAGUUCAAUCCGAUUUAUAAUAUAAAUAUACCGAUCAUGAAAGAGGCGGAUUUCCAGCUGCCAGAUUUUGACCUCACGGCGGGCUGCCCAUUGAAAUCAACGGAGCCCCUGACGACGUCGUCUAGCAGCGGCGCUUCGAGCUCCGAUAUGUCACCUCCGG
rnacentral:lncRNA from 1 species